UGGAACCUCUCGUAUCCUUGCCACCCUUCUGUCUCUCGGAAGUUUUUGUCUGCCUGAAAGACACGACCAUGGCAAUGAUCGAGUUUUCACAAGAAUGGAAGUCAGGAUUUCCAAUAGACACUGUGUCGAAAGCACCACUCUUACUCUCAAAACAAGCCUCAGAAUCCCUUAUUGGUCCACUUAUAUUCAACCCAAUCCCUGAAUCACUGGCACACCUCUUUACCUCUCCUGCUCUCUCUCCUCCUCUUCUAAACCCACCACCCCAUCUUUCUCUCACAAGAUUUAUCUCCACGUCAACACUCGCUGACUCUCCUCUCCCUCUCUCUACUGCUUCCUCUAUUGCCUUUUCUUUUGGCCCUCAAGAUCUACACUUUUCUUCUCCUUUGUUAGCUUAUAAUAGACUCCAGUUCCUUAAAUGCCCACAUGAUGAUACUGUUGUUGUGUUUUUUUCCACUGGGACUAAUCUUGACCGAAUUGGGUUUUUGUUACUUUCUGUUAAAGAUAAGAGCUUGGUGGCUACUGGGGAUCAAAAGGGUGGGAUUUUUACUGCUAGUAAGAGUUUGGGGUCAAAGAUUGUGAGGGUCUUAGUGAACCCCAUUGAGGAUGAUUCUUUUUUGAAUGGUAAUUAUUCCUUUUCUGGCUCUUUUGGUUAUUUGUUAGUUUAUACUAUGUAUUCUGUGAAUUGGUUCUGCGUUAAAUAUAGUGAAAGUAUGAAAAGGCCUGUUUUGAGUUAUUUAGGUUGUAAGAAUUUUAAGAGUUGUGGAAUUGCGAGUGCUUGUUGGAGUCCUUAUAUAAAAGUUCAGAGUGUGGUUUUGUUGGAGAAUGGUACAUUAUUUUUGUUUGAUUUGGAAGCCGAUUGUUCUGAUAUGUAUUUUAGGGGUACUAAAUUGAAAGUUUCGUGGGGUAAUGAAGGUAAGUUAGGAGAUUGUAAAUGGUUAGGGUGUGAGUUUAGUUGGCAUUGUAGGGUUUUGAUUGUUGCACGGUCAGAUGCUGUUUUUAUGAUUGAUUGGAAAUGCGGUGGUUUUGAUGUGACUUGUUUAGCAAGGAUUGAUAUGUUUAGUGCAUAUGCUCUUAGUGAAAAGGAACGGUUCCUAGCUAUGUCCAGGGCAGUUUCGGAUAGUCUUCAUUUUGCUUUGGUUUCUGAAACUAUGUUAGUUAUUUGUGAUGUGCGCAAGCCUAUGAUACCUUUGUUGCAAUGGGCACAUGGUCUUGAUAAGCCAUGUUUUAUUGAUGUGUUUAGAUUGUCUGAUUUGAGGUCCAACUCAAGGGAUGACACACAUGACUGGGCGAAUUCUUCAGGUUUUGGCAUUAUUUUGGGGUCAUUUUGGAAUUGUGAAUUCAGCCUCUUUUGCUAUGGACCAUCCUUUCCUCCUCGUAAAGGGUCCAUUGCCUUGGAAAUUUCUAAAUUUUCCAGUUGUUUAUACGCUUGGGACCACCCUUCAGGUCUCAUGUUAUCAGGUGAUGAUUGUCAACGUGGAGAUUGCCUUGUAAGAGAACAGUUUUGGAAGGAAGCUCUUCCUGAAUGGACUGAUUGGCAGCAGAAAAAAGACAUAGUGUUGGGCUUUGGUGUUUUGAGCAACGAUCUCUCUUCAUUGUUGUUUGAGCCUGAUGAAUUUGGUGGUUUUGUUUUAAUUAGAUUGAUGUCAUCAGGAAAGCUUGAAUCACAGAGAUAUUGUGCCUCAUGGGAAUUGGUUAAAAAUAUAGGAGUGGCUCAAAGAGAUCCAAUGCUGCAUCCAGAAGACAACUUACUUUACUUCAUGGGUGAUGAGGAAUACAAGGUCCCUAGAAAAUUUAAGUAUUUUGAACUGAACUAUCUACAUGCACAUUUGAAUGGCAAACUUUCUCAAGUUCUCGAUUCAAACAUGGCAAAGCCUUGUGAGUGUCCUCAUGAGAAGGAAUUGUUCAGCCUAGAAUUUCAUGAAGUAUUGUGCAAGAAGCUGAAAAUUUGUGGGUUUGGUCGAUUUAGAACAUCCCCUGCCAUUACAGUUACAUUUAAUGACAUAAACUUGCCAACAAGCAUCCAUGAGGUAGCUUUGAGGAGAAUGUGGGCUGAAUUGCCAAUGGAAUUCUUACAACUCGCCUUUUCCAGCUAUUCUGAAUUUCAUGAAGUACUUUUGGAUCAGAAAAGGGUUGCUUUGGAAUUUUCAGUUGUUCCAGAACUACCUCAAUUACCUCCAUUUUUCUUGCGGAAGCCUUCAAACCACAGUAAUAGGUGUUCACGUAAAGUGCAAAGUAGUGAUGCCCUUGUGGGUCCAGCUCUUCCUCUCCCUAUUUUGUCUACACUUCAUGAGCUUCGUAAUGGUUGUCCAAAUUCACAGGAAGAAACAGGCGGAUUUUCAUCAGAAUCGGAACUUAGCGUUCGAUGCAAUGAAGUUAUGCAGGUGGCCAAGGAAGUGGCUGUUUCAGAUUCCACAACCAAGCUUCAGGAUGAUAAUGCUAUCUCCCUUGAUGAUGACAGAGAUGACUUUUUGGAUCAUUCUGAAAAACCAAAGUCUUUCCUUCUAUACCAUCCAACUGCAUGUCAGCUCUCUUUUCAAGUUCACAAAGAGGAUAAUUGUGUGUAUCAGGAUGACACGUUUGCUUCCAUGAUUACAAAAGUGCAUGAGAAACAGUCACCUCAUCCUGAAAAGGUGGAAACUUUCAAACUAGAAUUCUUUGAUGAUCUGUGCCCAAUCGACUUGAAAUUUGAUGCUCGUGAGGUGAAAUUUAGUUCACAAGAGUCGAAAAUUUCAAAUUUAUUGAAGAAGAAUUUUUCAAAAUGGCAAGAGGAAUUCACUCCUUAUCGGGAAUUUUGUUCCCAAUUUACAUCCCCUCGUGACAAGAUGGCUUAAUGUAAGAUUUCUAUUGAUUGCAAUUUCCACUGCUUAUUUCUUCAAUUAUUGUUGUUUCGGUUUCUUAUAAGUUCAUCCCUUUUCCCUUUAAUUUUACUUUUUAAAACGUCUAUCCAGCUGAUGCUUGCAGACUGCAAACAUUAUUGUAUAGUUUCUUUUCUUUUUUUUUCUCCCGGGAGCUGGUUCUUCUCAUACUUGGUCUGAUGAACACGGGUUUGUGAUCUGUGAAUAAUGCUCCACUUGCAAGUUAUGUUAUACUGAUUCUAUAGUUUGAUGAUUUUCUUGCAAUUCCAUUAUUUACAAAUAGAGGGGGAGCGGUGAUUUUGCGAAGCAGCUGAACUGAAUUCGCAUCAAUUUAAGGCCUUGAAUAUCGAUGAUCAUUCUUCCAGUUUGAUUCAUGUUUUUCUCAUACUUGACUUGUGCAAUCCUCAAGGUAACUGUGAGUAUGAAAUAGAAAAAGUCUAUGGAUAAAAUCUGCACUCUGUAACCGAGAAAUUACUUGAUCAAAAUUUAUUUUUUUAGACAUCGGUGCAAUAUCCUUUUUUGUGUGCGUGAACCAAUCAAGGAUUGGAAUUCAGAAAUGCUAACAUUAAUUGACUGUAAAAUCAGAAAAAUUCAAAUUGUAAGAUAAAAUAGUGAAAGCAUUUUUAUUGAAUCUGCUUUUUCACUUGUUUAACCUACGAUAAUUGCAUAUGCAGGUUCCAGUUCAACAGGUGAACUUUCUGGAUCUCAUUUGUAAUGGCACGAGCAGUAGGUACUUUGUUUACAUUCUGGAUACGUAUGGCCAUAUUGUGGGCCAUAUUUGCAGGAUGGUUAUUGCUCAUCAUGGGACCUCAACUUAUUGAAAGAGGAGGUAUCUAGUCAUGACAUUGGCAUAGCAAGAUGUUCAGUUCCACUGAACUUUUUACGUUGUACAUACCCCCAAUUAGUUUGUAGAGUCUCAAUUCCAAGGCUUCUGAAUCUGUACAUGCUAUAGGAUUCGAGAAUUCCUCGCCUGGCAAUCUUGGUGCUUCUACCAUUGAAAGGUUGGUGUUGUACUUAAUUCCAGUUUAUUUUCAGAUGAUUACAGUAGGAUUUCAGGUCACCCUGAUGUGCAUUAUGGAGUACAAUAUUGAGUUAAGUGCUGACAUGCUAUGACUUUUCCGUUUGCAAUCCUGACCCUAAUAGUAAAAGACCUUUGAGAAAUGUAUCAUCUAUCUGCAUUGUUACAUUAAUAUGGUUGAUGCUAAGUUAUUUGGUUAUAA